rnacentral:sRNA from 1 species
GCUGGGAGCAGUGGUGCAUGCCUGUAAUCCCAGCCACCUGGGAGACAGAGGCAGGAGGAUCACAAGUUUGAGGCCAGCCAGCCUCAGCAACUGAGUGAGACCCUGUCUCAA